AUGAAGAGGAAUAAAAAAAAAAAGCAAAAACUACCAUUAAGCCUCAUGUUGUGUUGCUUCCCAGUUAUGGAGCAGCUCUCUUCAGCCUCCAAAAAUAUUGUGAAAGGGCUACAGUGGAAAUCUACAGAUGUGGAAUAAUGGUAAAAUAUAAAUCACAUGUACCAUUUGUUACCGAUACUACCUUUAAAAAAAUACCAGGCCACGUUGGCAGCAGCUUGUCCAGCCUCUUCAACUUCAACAGCAGAAUCCACUUUAGCAUAAAGAAAAAUAAGCGACGCUAAAUGAAAAUAUUCUUUUGUACAGUGGUGCUGGUUCACAAAGAGAUUCUUACCAAAAAAUAAUUGUAUGAUUGCUUCUAUUCCCACCAAUGACCAAGUUGCCACUUCAUAAGCCAAUU